CGCGCCACUCCUCGAGCCAGCCUCGCUCCCGGGCGCGCGCGACUCGUGCUUCUCACACGCUUAGGGCGAGGCAGCGGGAAAGCGGAAGUGACGCGCGGGACCCUCCGAGCCCCCCCUUCUGCUCCCUCCCUCCCCCCCCCAAUCAACCUACACCGGCGCCCCCGACAUCAGCAGCGUCCGGAGCGGGAGCUAAAGCGAGGCCCUUAGCCCAGGCUGAGCGCCCUUCCAGCCGGGAUGCGCCCUCCGCCCACUUUCUCCGCUUCUGGCUGCCGGGCCUCGCAGGACGAAGCCACACCCAUCGGGGCUGGGCAGCCUCCGCUGGACAGCCUCUCCCGGGCUGCUCCCCGAAGCCUGGGGUCACUGACCCUGUGCACCUCUGCGAACGCCCACUUCGGAGCUCCCCUCCCCCUCCCCCAGGCGCCCCUCCCCCGGGCCCUUCCCUUAGCAAGGAAGCCUGUAGCUGUGGCGGGAGAGCGCCCCCGUUCCAGCUCUCGCCUUCAUGGCCAUUCUCCAAUCUCCGCGUGGGCUGGGGAAGGAGCCUGUUCGAGGCACUCUGAACUGGAGCCUCCCAACCCCUAUUCUAAGAAACCCAGCAAAAUGAAAUCGCUUCUGGUCCCACUUUCUCUUUGUUUUCUCCAAUUGUAGGUAAAAAAAACAAAACCAAAACCCUUUUUUUAGUUAUACAUAUACAUUUAUUUACAUAUUUUCUCAUGAAUUAUGUUAGGAGAGAAAAAAUCAGAACAAAAGGGAAAACCACAAGAGGAAAAAAAAAGCAAGAAAAAAGAAAACAUGAGCAUACCGUGUGUUGAUCUAUAUUCAGUCUCCAUUGUCCUCUCUCUGGAUGAGAGCGGAUCCCAAAGUUUAUUGGGAUUGCCUCGGAUCACAACCGGUGAGGAGAGCCGGAUCUGUCAUCGUUGAUAUCACGCUGUAUACAGCAACAGCACGAAUGUGCGUCCCGAUUCUGCUCGUUUUGCUCAGCAUCAGUCCCCCGUAAAUCUUUCCAGACUUUAGUAAAAUCAGUUUUUUUGUUUUGUAGAACAAUGAUGUCCCAUUACAUCCAUAUCCCGUAACUCACUCAGCCAUUCCCCGCCGAUGGGAGUCUGCUCAUUUUCCGUUUCUUUGCCACCACAAAAAGCUGUUACAAACAUUUUUGUACGUAGGGGAUUUACGAUUUCUUUGGGACACAGACCCAGUAGUGGCACUGCUGGUCAAAAGUUAGCACAGUUUUAGAGUUCCUUGGGCGAGUUCCAAAUUGCUCUCCAGAAUGUAGUUGGAUCAUUUCACAAUUCCGUCAAAAAUGGAUUAGUAUCCCACGUCCCCCCCCAACACUUAUCCUUAUUUCUUGUCAUUUUAGCUAAUCCGAGAGGUGUGAAGUGGUUCAGAGUUGUUCUAAUUUGUAUUUCUAAUCAAUAAGUAAUUUAGAGCAUUUUUUUUCAGCUAACUAUAGAUGACUUUAAUUUCUUCAUCUGAAAAUUGUUGACCAUUUAUCAAUUGGGGAAUGACUUGUAUUCUUGGAAAGUCGAUUCAGUUCUUUAUAUAUUUUAUUUUAUAUUUAUUUUACUGAAACAGUUGGGGUUAAAUGACUUUGCCCAGGGUCACACAGCCAGGAAGUGUUAAGAGUCCAACACCAUAUUUGAACCCAGGUCCUCCUGACUUCAAGGCUGGUGCUCUAUUCCACUACACCAACUAACUACUGCCCUAGUUCUUUAAAUUUUUAGAAAUGAGACCUUUAUUAUAAACACUGGCUAAAAUUUUUCCCCCUAGCUUUCUGCUUCCCUUCUGAUCUUGGCUGCAUAGGUUUUGUUUGUGCAAAACCUUUUUAAAUUUAAUGUAAUCAGAGUUGUCUCUUUUGCAUUUCAUAAUGUUCUCUAAGUGUUUGGCCAUAAAUUCCUCCCUUCUCCAGAGAUCUGAUAAUGCUCUCCUAAUUUGCUUAUAGUUUCUAGUCUCCCCUCAUUCUCUUGAAUGACUCUUCCUUCCUUGGCUCCUGAAGUUGAGACAUCUUGGUCUGGUCACAUUUCCUCUCUCCCUCAUUUUGGACCCCAGCCAAACCCAACAAUUGCUGAAUCCAAAUUAUUUUCAUGCUCUUCUCUCGCAACACCCAGCAUGAAGUUUCAAACCAUUUUUAAGACCCAGUUCAAAUGUAAUUUCCUCUAUGAAUCUCUUCCCUGAUCUUCCAAACUAAAUCAAUUCUUCCCUCAUCUGAUUUCUUAGCUCUCAUUCAUUUAAUCAAAAUAUAAAUUAUAAACUGUGUAUGUCUAAUUACAUUCUCUCUAAGAAAUUGCUCAAGGCAAAGAAACUGUCUUCAUCAUCUGUGUUUCUUUCCUGUUCCAACCCCACAUCCAGCCCCAAACUCUGCUUUGAAGAGUCAGUACUUAAUGAAUGUUUGCUAAAUAUUAAAAAUGUUCAUUAAUGCUUAUGUCUAUUUAUUUGGACCUACAUAGGUCAUCUUUAAUGUGAAAGACAAAAUAUUCUAGUGUUGAUCAAUUAAUACUCUAUUCUUUAUAGCCAGUUUGAGACCACAGCAUUCCUAGAUUUUGCCAGUCACAAAUUGUGAAAAUCAAGUUUUUCUUAUUAGGAAGGGAGAGUGGAAAAAUUUUACAUACUUUUGGUUUUCAUUAAAAACAAUUUUUUUACAAGCCUUUGUGACUUGCUUCCACUGCUACCUCCUCAAAUUGAACAAUUAAAAAAAAUGUCCAUAACAGAUAAGCACAGUGCAACAAAAAUUUUGAGAUUGACCAUAUUGGAAAAUGUAUAUCUUAUCCCGCAUACUAGUAAGAGGCUAUCCCUUCUCUUACAGUAUAUAGAUAGAACAUGUUUCAUCUUCACUCCUCUGAAAUUGUGGUUUGUCAUGCCGAUUGAAAUUCUAAAGUUUUUAAAAAUUUAGAACGUUUUGAUAUUGUAUACAUUUGUGCAGUUCUGCUUUCACUUUCUAUCAGUUUAUAGAGAUCUUCUGAAACUAUUCAUUUCAUGAUUUCUAUGGCACUUUAGCCUAUUAUGUUCAUGUAUCAUAAUGUGGUUAGCCAUUCUUCAAUAGAUGAGCACCCCUGUAGCUUCCACUCUGGAACUACUUAUAAAUAUUAUAUAGAACUUCCAUUUAUAGUCAUGGAUCCCAAAGUUCAUAUAUUGUCAUAGAGUUCCUAAGAAUUUUUUUUAAUUUAUGUACUUUUAAAAAAAUAUUGAGAUAUAAGUCUGGUAUCAUCUGGUCAAAGGAUCAAACAGUUUGGUAACUAUUUGGACAGAGUUCCAAAUUGCUUUCCAGAAUGACUGUGCUAGCUUUAUAGACUACAUUAGGGUGCCUGUUUUCCUGUAGUCCCUCCAACAUUUGUUAUUUUCCUUUUCUGUUAUCCUUGUCAAUCUACUGGGUAAGAAAGCUCAGUUGUUUUAACUUGCAUUUCCAUGAUUAGUGAUUUGGAACUCUGCCUCUCCCCCUUCCCCCCCCCCCCCCAGAUUGUUGUUGUUAGCUUGCAUUUCUUCUUUUGAAAACUGUCCGUUUCUAUCUUAUUGACCCUUUCAAUUAACUGGGAAAUGGCUCUUGUUUCAAUCGGUUCCUUAUGAACUUGGAUAAGAGGUAUUUAUUAGAGGAAACUUGCUAUAGCAGUUAUGCCCAAUGAGCUGUUUUUUUGUUUGUUUCAUUUUAGCUUUAAUUUUAUUUGUACAAAAACUUUAGAUCUUCGUAUAAUACAAAUGUUCUAUUAUCAUCAAUUCUUUCUGUCCUUUGUUUUAUCAAAUUCUUAUCCUUUUGUUCUGAGAGACGAUUUCUUCCGUUGCUCAUCUAAUUUACUUAUAUCACUUUUUAUGUCGAGAAUAUAUCAUUUACAGUUUUAUCCUGGAAUGUUGAGAUGUUGAGUUAAUUUUUGUCAGAAAGCUAGUUUUCCUAAUAGUGACUCUUCUCCAUAGAAAUUGGGGUCUUUGGAUAUAUUAAACAUAAUGCUUUGUUCAUUUGCUUCUAUAUGUGCUAUGUAGCUAAUCAUUUUUUGUGAAUUAAACUAUUGUAUGAAGCAGUAAUCAUCAAAAAUACUUUGGUUAAAAAGGUCAAGAUUUGGCAUUGAGAGGCUCUCUCUCCUUCCCAUUCCUCCCUCUCCAUCUUCAGAUGACCUCAGUUUUUUGAGAUGAAGAUGUCUCUUUCAGAUAAGGUCUAUGAUCCUAUGGUCUCCCCUGAGGCUAUUUCAUUGAUUACAAAGCUCUAAUUUUGGAGAAAUUUUUUUAAAGCCUCAGUUUACCUCUCUGAAACUUCUACCCACUUUUUCUACUUUGGCCCUUUGUGGCCAAGCAGAACCUAACUAGGCUUUCCAGAUGAUUGCCCUUCAGAUACUUGGACAAUUCUCAUCCUUCUUGCUUUCCUUUCCCCAAACCCAAUCUUUUCUCCAGACUCAAUGCCUCACUUUCCUACCACACAACAAGAUUGAGAUAGUUUAACUGGUGAAUCAUAGCUCAGCUCACAUGCUCAAUUGGCAUUCUCACUUUAAGACAGGGGUCCUCAAACUACGGCCUGCGGCCAGAUGCGGCAGCUGAGGACAAUUAUUCCCCUCGCCCAGGGCUAGGAAGUUUCUUCAUUUAAAGGCCCACAAAACAAAGUUUUUGUUUUUAGUCUAGUCCGGCCCUCCCACAGUCUGAGGGACAGUGAACUGGCCCCCUAUUUAAAAAGUUUGAGGACCCCUGCUUAAGAGGUUAUAUGGAAAACCAUCCUUUUCUCUCCUUAUCCCUGAAAUUGAUGGGAAGACAGUUGAAGAGUCACAGAGUAUGGAUAGAUACGGAUGAAUUGCUGUCUACUUCAUAGGAGGGAAUGCACAUCAGUGAAGUAACGAUACGGAUACAACUUUUAUUGUUAAAUACUUCUAGUAAAGGUUUAGGCCAGGAAUUUUCAGAAAAUACAUUCAAGAUACCACUUUACAUCAGAGGAACACAGAAGGCACUGUUAUAUUGAUUGACUAGAUACAAGUCAUGUAUGACACAUAUAGCAUCUAUGUCUCAAUUUUUAAAUGACAUAAGAUGAAUCACUUCAAACUAUAUACUUCACAUACCACCCCCCUACACAAAUCCAUAGGAUAUGUUUUCUAAGCAAUAAAAUUACCAAAGUGUGAAUUGUGUGGGAAUUCCUUAUUUAAAUAUCAUUUCUUAGCAGAAUCAUAACCUACAUGUGACUGAGGCAAAUUCCUUUGUGGGGUUUUGAUCAUAAUCUGAUCUGUCAUUGUCCCCAUUGAGAGUUUCACAGCUUCUCUACUUUGUCAUGAACCUAACUGCCCCCCCCCCCCCCCUUCCUCCACUUUUUUUUUUUAUCCCAUCCCAGUAUGGGCCCACUCUAGAUCCAGGAUCUUUAUUGCCUCCUUUGAAUAAGAAACAAACACUCAUAGGAUUGUUUCUGGGCUAGAUUAAAAAAAAAAGUUUUCAUGAGUCCCCCCUCUACUUGUUCAUGUGAUAUUAUUGGCAGAAACAUUUUAGACAUUGACAUAUUCCUGAAAAUGACUUGAAAUAUAUUUUCCCCACUGUCCUGAUAUGUGCUUAAUCUUUUCUCCUAAAUGAAUUCCUGGUAUUUUGCCAGGCUCAGAUCCAUGAUUCAAUUUUCUUUUUACUUUUUUAUUAAAGCUUUUUAUUUUCAAAACAUAUAUAAUUUUCAAAGUUUACCCUUUUAAAACCUUGUGUUCCAUUUUCCCCUCUAAUCCCCCACUUCCUCCCCCAGAUGGCAAGUAAACCAAUAUAUGUUAAACAUGUGAAAUACUUCUAUAUAUAUUUUCAUAACUGUCAUGCUGCACAAGAAAAAUCGGAUCAAAGAGGAAAAAGAAUGAGAAAAUAAAAUGUAAGCAAACAGAAACAAAAAGAGUGAAAAUACUAUGUUGUGAUCCACACUCAAUCCCCACAGUUCUUUCUCUGGGUGAAUAUGGCUGUCUUUAUCACAAGACCAUUAGAAGUGGCCUGAAUCACCUUGCUGUUGAAAAGGGUCAAGUCCAUCAGAUUUGAUCAUUGUAUAAUCAUGGGGUUGCCAUGUACUACUCACUUCGCUCAGCAUCAGUUCAUGUGAGUCUCUCCAGGCCUCUCUGAAAUCAUCCUGCUGUUUGUUUCCUAUAGAAUAAAAUUCCAUAACAUUCAUAUGCCAUAACUCAUUCAGGGGACAUGAUUGAAUUUUAGAUUAGAUCUCUCUCUAAACAGGGGCAUCAUCCAAUUCUAGGUUUACCCAAAGAUAAUAUGUAUUUUCCAAUAAGUGUUGGAGAUCAAUAAAAUCUAGUUCAACUCCAGGUGGGGAAAAGCUUUUAAAAAAUUUCUGCUUCAAAAGUCAUGCAACCUACCAGUAUUAUUUAGGAAUUCAGAUUUGUCUUUGAAAUGCCCGAUUAGCUUUCUUUCCACUAGGGGACCUCAGAGUCAUAGCUACUAAAAAAAAUACCAGAUUCAUGUUUCUCUCGUCUCCUUCCUAAACUCUAGAAAAUAUCUAAAGACCUGGAGAAGAUUAGUUUAUUUCUAUUUAAAUUCUCAGAAUAUUUAACAGUUAUGACAUUAGACCCAGGAAGAACUAAAUUUUAAGCAAGUCAAAAAUGAUCAUGAGGCAACCUGCUCUCUGGAUACCAAGAGACUUCAAGGCUCAGCAGCUCAGCUGCCCCUUCCUCAGAAAGAUCUUCCCCGAUUUCCUCACCUGGUGUUCUCUGCACAUCUUUUUAAAAUCUUAAAUUUACAAACCAAUAAACUAUCAAAUAACUUUAUACAAAUUAUGACUUACAAAAAGCUCAAGCUUUGGGGCACAAAAUAUUAACAAAAUACAAAACAUGCUUAUUUAUUAAGCAGAUAGUUUAAAGUAGUCAGUUUCUAAGUUGGCCUUGUCUAAAAUACAUUAAUUUAAAUUCACUAACUUUAACAGAAACAAAAAUGGUCUAUGAAAGUCUGAAUACUGUGUCUUUAGCCCCUAGAACAUUUUAAAAUCAGAGUCUCUGCCCCCAUCCUUGGGGGCCUUGUAUUGUAGUACAUAUCCUUGUACAUUCCCACCCUGGCUAAGUUCAUUAAGCACCUUGAGAUGUGCCUAUUGUCCCCUCCCCUAUCAUUCCCAAUGCCUAGAAUAGCAUUUCACAUAGAAGAGGGAAAGGGAACAAGCAUUCACAUAGUACCUGUUAUGUGUUAGGUCCUAUGCUAAACACUCUACAAAUAUUAUGUCAUUUGAUUCUCACAAUAACCCUGGGACGUUGGUGGUGUUAUUCCAUUUUACAUUUGAGGAAAUCGAAACAAACAUUAAGUGACCUAUAUAACAAAGUAAGUAAAUGAAGCUGAAUUUGAGCUCAGGCCUUGCUGAUUCCAGACCUGGUGUUUUAUCCACUGAGCCAUGCAGCUGCUUAAAUGCAGUAGGGGAUGCUUAAUUAAAAGAAUGCUUGCAUUGAAUCUUGUGGAGUGAAAAUGGCAACUAGCAAUGGAAAAUAAAAAAGAAUAAAAGCUCUAGGAAGUUUCUACAGUAUAUCUGUGCCCUGAUUACUCUAGAAGUCCUUGUAGUGUUCACAUUCCCAAUUCCUAUCCUCUGAAACGCGAAGGGAAUUGUGAAAGUAGUGCUCCAUUAACCUGUGUGGAAAUGUCAUUAUCAUGGAAAUACUGUGUAACCAGUGUGGCCCAGGAGCCUUUACCCAGAAUCCACAAGCAGUGAUGUGGUAGAAAUGGCAACUGCAGGAUUGUUGGAUGGAGAGUUUGACGGGAAAGUGGCAUUCCAGCAGCACCCUCACCUUGGUACCACAUAGGGGGACCCAGAGGUUCUGCCUCCACUUUCAGAGGGAUGAGUUCCUGCUUUGCUGUGCUCAGGGCCAAAGAGGCUAAUGAUUUGUGAGCUACACAAGCCCCUCAAAGGCAGUCUUUGGCAUCUGAUCCAAGUUGGGAAUAGUAUAAAAAAAUCAUUGGGUGAAUCCAAAUGCUGGAAGACUUCGAGAAAAGAUGGCAGUGGUAGUGACUGCCAGGAGCUAGGAUGAAAUUAUCAGACAACAGAGCAAUGGAAGUGAAGAAUUCAGCAGGGACAGCCAUCGUGGGAAGUUCCAGCACCCAAAGCAAGGACUUGGCUAUUGGAGUUGGGGGGGGUGGUGAGCCAGAAGGGAGUCGGUGAGUGAAGGAUAGGAGGGAGCAGGGGAGGUCAGCAGGUCUAUUCUAAGCAGUCCUGUAAUCACAGCCCUCUUCAGCCCAACCUUCAGCCUUAUCUUUCUCUGAGGUGAGCAGCAUCAAGCAAGACAAUGUCUAAAAAUUAGCUGGUCCUCAGCGUUCUCUGCAGCCCCUAAUCAUAUUCUCAAGGGAUUGGAUGGAAAAGUAUUAUACUGAUUUCUUCACUAAAGAAACAGGGCAAUAAGGAAAGUUACAGAAGAUGGCAAAAGAUUUCAUGACCUUGCUUGUUGUGGAUAUUCCCACUACACAUACACAUAAGGAAAAUGCUGUUAAUCUUAAAUCCAUCCAAGUUGCCCUUGAAUAAGGCAUCUGAAGGGGGGAAAGGCAUUGAGGGAAACAGACUAUAGCAACAAAACAGGGCAAAAGAUUAUUAGGUGACUGAUAAAGAAGAAAAAAUAAUCAAUGGAAUUUCUGCCGUUUUCUACAGCUACUGACCAGAAGGUAAAUAAACUUUCUGUUUCUUUGUCUUGCUAACUACUAAUUUAAGAUAUUAAACCCUUAUCUUUUACAUACUUUUGGAUAAAUCUUUAUGUUACUGUCUCUGUGGCCUCUUGCUAGUGGGGGAUUAGGUCUUGAGAGGUACUAGGGAGAUGAAACUUCUGGGUGCAAGCUAUUCAAAGCCAUUAAACUUAUUAUACUGUUUUUGAAAAAUUGUCAAGACUGAAAAGGAUCCAAAGAGCCCAUAAUUUUGAUGAUGGAUCCAGUGUACAUUAAGAUGAGUCACAGAGAAAAGAUUCGAGUCAUCUGCUCCCUCCUUCUCUCCAACUCCAUUCUAGUGCCUUCCUACUGGGGAGAUUGUAGCCAAGAGCAGAGUACUAAAUCUGGGUUGAAUUAUGAAUUUGCUGAAGAUCUAUUCUACUUCUGUCUCCAUUCUCCAAUAAUUCUCUACUCACUAGAAAGUUCGAAUGAAAGGAUAAAUCCAUUUCAGUAUUUCAAAUUAAAUCUCAGAAGUUUCAGUCAUACCCUUCCAUAUAAGUAUUUAUCUUUCUAAUUUUUUUUUGUAAUGAGUCCAUAAACUCUUCCUUUCUCCACUCUGCUCCAUUUCCAACAAUGCUAAAGUUAAAUGAAGAAUUCCAAGCACUUGAUUUCACACUAUUUAACAGAAACGAUUAUUUAAAAAUUCAAUAAAAUUAAAAAAAAAUGAAGAAAAUUGCCUGAAGCUAAAAAAAAAAUGCUAGACAGGCACUUAUUCUAAACCCACUCAAAGAUAAUGAUCAAAGCAAUUCAUUCUCUCAGUUUGGUAAGAUUAUUUUAGAGAGGAAAGAUUUCUCCAUUAAAAAAAAAAACAACUUUAUUAACAGUACAAAUAUUCAAAUGGAGUAAAACAAUUUGGUAACAUUUCCAUUUAUGAUCUCAUCUCCUCAUGGUGUCCAGAAGCUUUCCUAACUUAUCUAGUCUAGAAGUUAACUUUUUAACAACAACAAAAAAAAAUGUCCUGGACUCCCUUGACAGUCUGGGGAAAUCUAUGUGUUUUUUCUUAGAAUUUUGUUUUAAAAGCAUGAAAAAAAAAAAAAAAGAGAAAUGGAGAUUCAUGAUUCAAUUUUCAUUCAAAUUUCUAUUUAAAUUCUCAGAAUAUUUAACAGUUAUGACAUUAGACCCAGGAAGAACUAAAUUUUAAGCAAGUCAAAAAUGAUCAUGAGGCAACCAGCUCUCUGGAUACCAAGAGACUUCAAGGCUCAGCAGCUCAGCUGCCCCUUCCUCAGAAAGAUCUUCCCCGAUUUCCCCACCUGGUGCUGCUCUCUGCAUUUUUUUAAAAUCUUAAAUUUACAAACCAAUAAACUAUCAAAUAACUUUAUACAAAUUAUGACUUACAAAAAGCUCAAGCUUUGGGGCACAAAAUAUUAAUACAAAACAUGUCUAUUUAUUAAGCAGAUAGUUUGAAGUAGUCAGUUUCUAAGUUGGCCUUGUCUAAAAUACACUAAUUUAAAUUCACUAACUUUAACAGAAACAAAAUUAUGUCAGUUAGUCAUCAAAUUAUUUAAAAAACACACACACACACACACACACACACACAUACAAACAAAUUAAGGACCUGAGGUAAAGAGCUCCUGCUUUACAGGAAAUCUAUUCACUAAACAGGGCCUUCCUGUAGUUCUUCACAUUCUUUGGGUAUCAACUCAGCACAAGAAGUGACCAUCAGUUAUCCCUUGGUCUCUUCCUAGUUUUACCAUAGACAAAACAGGCAGAUCCAUCUCAUUUUUCUAUCAUGCAUUUCUUCUGAAACUUUUAACAUGGCUUCUGGGCAAUUGGUUGGCAAUAAGCUGUAGACUAUCCACACCCACUGGAGUAGUUUCUCCAUUGAUCUUUGGAUGACCCACAACAUUGGUCCUUUUGAGAUUGUGACAUUCUGGGAUUAGCUAUCAUAGCAUCACUGAAAUAAAUUUAACAUGUUCAAAAUGGAUUUUGUUUCAGGGAGAAGUUUUUAAAAGCAUCGAACAAUUUAACCAGUGCAACUCUGGCUGUUCAAUCUGUAUCCCAUGAAACAUUUAAGAAAUGUUAUUUAUAGUCCAUCAUCUUAUUCUCCUUAAGCAUGAGGAUUAUUUCUUUGAUUUCUCUCCUCAUAUAGAUGAAAAAAUUGAACUUUGCACAGAUACCCUAGUUUUUUGUUGUUGUUGGUUGUGGUGUUUUUGGUGAUGCCAUAUUUUUGUCCUAUCAGUUCUUCCUUUCUUCUCAUCUCUCCCCUGAUGAAAAACAAAAAGCCAGCCAAGAUGAGUUCUCUUCUGACUUGUUUCCAAGUACCACAUUCCCCCACUCACCCAGGUUCAGACCACUGACGUUCUUUAUCUUCUUCCUCUCACCUCUCCUGCCCAGCAGAUAUACCAUCUGGGGACUAUACAAUUGUCUCCCAUCUGAUCUCCCUGAUUCUAAUUCCCUCUGUCUUGAAUUCAGCCUAGAUAAGUAAGCACAGUAAGUGUCCUGUAACACAAGCCUGAUGAAACAACAGAUUCUAGAGCUGAAUGGCUGAAAUUUCAUUUUUUCAGAAGAGGAGAAAAAAAAGGCCCACAGGGAAUAAGUGACUUUCUUGUAAUGACAAAGGCAAUAAGUGAUAGAGAUAGAAUUUGAGCCCAAGUCUCAAGCUCCCAAAUCUCACGUUAUUUCCACUAUUCUACACAGCUUCUCACAACAGUCUUCUACUCCAAGACAUUAAUCUAGUAGCUCUUGAUUGAUUAUUGAAUAGUAUUUGAACUCUUUAACUUGGUGGUCAAGAACUCCAUAGCUUGGCCCUAGCCCAUUUUUCUCCUACUUCUUCCUCCCCAAACCCAAAGAUCUAGCCAAACUGUUUCUUUUCAUUCUCUGAAUCGACACUCAAAUCAGUUUGCUUCUGUUCCUUUGCUCCUGUAGAUAUCAGCAUGGAACUAAACUACACAUAGAAAGCCCUCAUGAAAUAGCUAUUAAAUAAAUGAAUUAGAUCUUAAUGAUGAAAAUGUAAAAAACAUAAUACUGGAGACAAUGUAAAUCAGCAUAUGUUAUGUUCAUUUUUUUUUCCUUUCUUUUCCCUCUUUCUCAUGGUUGUCCCUUUUGCUUUGAUUUUUUUUUCUAAUGACUCAAAUAAAUGCAUAUAAAAAUGAAUGUACAGGGAAUAACCAGAAAACAAGAAUAAAAAACAUUUAAAAAAGUAAGUCAGAUGCGGAACUAAAAUGAGAAUGAGAGCUUUUAUCCAAUUUUCUCCCUGGAGAUUUGUGUUUAAUAAUAGUUUGCAUCCACAUAGCAGAUCAGUUAUAAGGCCCUUUCAUUUACAUGAUCUCUUUUGACAACAUUCCAGACAGGCAAGUAUUAUGACUUUCUUUAUUUAAAAGAGGAAGAAAAAAAAGUGUCAGAAAGGAAGUUUGUAUAAUGGAAAACAUAGUAACCUUCUAGUCAGAAAGUCUAGGUUGGAAUAAUAUAACUUUGGGCAAAUCACAACCUCCAACCUCAGUUUGCGACCUAUAAAGAGGGAUACUAGUACUUGUAUUCCUUACCUUACAAAGAGGUGGUAAGAAAAGUCUCUUGAAAUUUAAAAGGAAUAAGAAUCAGGAAUUUCUGCAUCUCCACCCUGCCCCCCCCCCCAUCCCCUUAAGUCUUCCAUUAAGUUAGGACUGGGUUGAAUGAAAUCUUUGCCACUUCAACAGAAUGAUAGUUCUUUGGCAGAGGCUCUUGAGGUCAUCCAGCCAGAUUUGUUGGUUUACAGAGGGGAAAAAUCUGAAAUCCAGGGAGUAAGGGGAUUUACUCAUUUAAAGAAUAAGAACUGGGAUUUGAACCUAUAGCCUCUCACUCUAAAUGCAGAUAAUCUUACAUUUUCUGAUGAUGUGGAUUGAGGAAAUCAACAUUUUGAGCUAAGUUAUUGGAAUAAAACUAAAGACUAUAGUCAAGAAAUGCAAAGUUAGAUUUAUUUCUUCAUUAGUGAUGACAGGGGAAAAAUUUAAUCUAAAUACAUUAAUAUUCCUACUGGACUUUAUCUUCUGGAUUGUCAAUUCUUAAAAAAAAGAUAUUGAUUUCUAUCCAGUGAAAUCCAUAAUCAUAUCUUUAUAAACUAUGUAUCUGUGCUUCAAGAUCAUAAGCAGAAGGUGUGUGUGUUGGGGGGAGGAAGAAUAAGACAUUACUGUGCUUAAGGGGUUAAAAAUGAAUAGGACAUGGAAUCAAAUGAACUAUUUUAUAGACUAAUAACUUCAAGAAAGGAAUUUCUUAUUAACUCCUCAAAGCUCUCCAUAAUUCAUAUUCUGUUUCUAACACCCCCCCCCCCUUAGUCUUGCUGAAAAUCUUUUAAGGAUAGAAUGUAAAUCUGUGGGACUAAAAACUUUGUCCAAACAUUCUAGUAUCAUCCAAGGGCAAGGACUAUAUUUCCUAUCAUAAGACAAAUUGAAUUUCUUUUUGAAGAUAGACAGUUGGACCACAUCUCAUUUCAAUGAAUUGUCAUCAUGGUACCAAUGCAGGUUUCUGGUUAGUCAUUUAAAGGAUGUUUGGAGAUGGCUAAUUUCAACCUCAUUCAUUAUUGCACCUGCAUAUGACAGAUGGGAAGGUUUAGUGUUGUCUAGUUUGAAGACAAAUAGAUGAACCAGAUUUCUCUCCAUUAUACUUCCCCAUCAAUGAAUUUCCAUUAUUUUGAAGACAGCUAAAUUCAAGAGUAAUCUCUAAUUCACUGGGAUUCAUGAAAGGACAGGUUCAGAAUAUGAAAGUAGUAUGGUAUGGUAGAUAGCAUUCCAAAUUUAAAGUAAGAGUCCCUGGGUUCAAAUUCUGCCUUUGUCACUUAUUGACCAUGGCCAAGUCUCUUCAUCUGUCAGAAGAGGCAUUUGAGUGCGACCUCUGAAAGACAUGAACUAACAAUCUGAGCCUAUAUACAGUAAGCUGAGGCUUUGUAACAUUUUUCAUUGGGUGACUUGAAAUUUAAUUAUGUAAUGCUUUCCCUUCCUCCCUUUAUAGCUUUCAACAGUUUUCUCAAAGUCACAUUAAUUAAGGAGGAACAAAGCCACUAAAAAAAUCCACCCAUAAAACCCCAAACAAGGUAUACUUAGAAUCAUGAAGAUUCAACCCAGAUGUUUUGAUAAAUCCAGUAGCUUAUGUAAGUUUGAUAUUCUUGGUGUAUUGUAUGAUGUACAACGUAGUAAUCAAGUUCCAAGUGUACCUGGAAGAAAACAAAUGGUGAUUUAGCCAACUCAAGCAGUUACCCAGGUGUGGGAGAAGGAAGAUAAGUAAUCAAGCAAGGGAGACGUGAAUUAUGAGGAUAGAGAAGGAAAAUCAGCUAUCCUAAUGGAGGCAAACUUGACAGGCAGCUAUAGUGCUGAUGCCCAGGUUUCAGUCUUAUCCUGAACAUGCUAAUUAGCUGAAAACAGACAAAUGACUUUAAAAAAAGACAAUGUAGUGUUCUUGGCACCUGCCCUGACUUUCCUUUCAAACACCCUAGUAAUCCCAAGUUUUUAUUGGGGUUAGAAUUCACCAAAAAUGUCUUUCAGGAAGGAUAGUUUUCAGAUUUUUCUCAAAAGAAAAUUUUACUGGAAAUCAAAUUACUUGGUAUAUCAAAUAUACUUGGUAUAAAGUUGAUCUUUAUAGAGAUCAACUGUGAAUUUAGCUCAUUCAGGGAGUGCCUUAAAUUACUUGCAAGAUCUCAGUUUUAAGAGGCUUGUGAAAAGUUGGGCCAUUCCUUUUACUCACUGACGUCUUGGGAAGAAAAAGUACAAAAGAAUCUGUCCUGUUGGGGUUGCCUUUUAGUUCAGUCACUUCUUAGUCCUAGUUUCACUGUGUGAAGACAGGCCAAUCUACCCCAGCUCCUCUUCCCCCGCCUUGGGGCAUUUCAAGCAAUAUACAAAUUAGCCCUUGAUCAUGGUGGAGUCAGAAUCCCAGUCUCUUCAGUAAAAUACUGGACAAGGAAUCAUCUAGCAAUUGUCCAGAGGUUCUGCUUUUUAUGCUUACUAAAAAUCACUAAAUGUCUCAUUAACAUCAGAGGGCCAGCGUUUAAAGUCUAGCCCGUCUCCUCAACAGUAAGUGUAGAGAACUAUCUGGCUCGGACUCAGUGGGGUCUGAGGCCUUUUGCAGCGAUCCUCCAUUUCUGAGGGCAGCCUAUUCUUUGCCUCUAGAUAAUUACAGAAGUUUUUGUAAAUCACUAUUCUCAGGCUCUUUUUUUACUUCUCCUCUGCCUUUGUCCCAACCAUUUUACCAUUUGGGAAAAUAGAAAUUUUAAGCUCAAAUCAGGCAACUCUGGUAAUAAAAAUCCACCAUGAAGUCAUUUCUCCUUAUACAAAACCCAUCUCUUACAUUGCAACGCUCUACUUCAUUUGUGUAUGUUUUCCUCCUUCAUUUUUUAAGGGGAGGAGGGAGAAGAGACCUUCCUUUUAAAGGACAUGGUGUCCCUUUCUCCAUCUUGGUCUGGCAAGACCAUUGCCAACAGGGAAUUCAGGGCCAAGGAGUUUGCUAGUGGUUGAAAUCUAGGAGGCCUCAAUUGUAUCCACUCUCCAAGUCCAAGUCUCCUUCCCCUUCUCAUCUCCAGAAUACAAAACAUUUGGAUGCUGUAGCUCACACCCCAGUUCUGUGGGGUAAGAAGUGCAGACCCUGUAGGAUCAUUCCUUCAAAAUCAAGGCAACUUUAGCUCCAAACGGGAAGCUUGGGAAAAAAUAUUCUAAAAUGCAGAUCACACUAGCUUGCAAUAAUUGUUUUAGUUACCUCCUCCCUUCUCCCCAUUAAAAACAACAACAAUAAUAAUUAGAAGGAAGCAAUAAGGAAAGUUUUGGUCUUUUGCUCUAGAUCAGAGUUUAAGUUGGGAUUGGUGAAUUUAUUAAAAAAAUCAUUUUGAUCAGUAUUUCAGCAAGAUCAGCUUCCUUUGUAAUCUUCUGUACUUUAUGAUUUUUGAGAGGGGUCUCUAGGGUUUUCUGGACUUCCAAAAGGGUCCAGGACCCAAAGAAGGUGAAGAAUUCCUGGUUUGCAUGGGACAUUUCAGGAAGGAAAGGAAUUUUAGGGGAUUAAGAUCAAGUCAAUUUCAUCACAGCUGAACUUUGUCAUUAGAACAAGUUUAGCAAAAGAUUAGCAAGAAGUUUCUGGCCUCAGAUCCACCUACCCCAGUGGAAAAAAAAAUUGUAAAAGUAGAUCUCCUACAUCCUUCUUGAUCCAGGACAUUUGUUUCCUGCUGAUUAUUAUGGUUCAGGACCUAGCAGUUUAAGUUCUGAAAGUAAGCAGUCAAGUAAAUAAUGAUACCUGCAUUUAGAAAGAAAGGAUGAUUAAGGUCAGAGAAAAGGGAUUGCUCUGUGGUGCCAUUUCUCUCAAGAAAUUAAAACAAAUUGAAUUAGAAUCACGCAGAAAUCUUCAUCUCAGUACACUCCAGUAUCCCAGAUAAGCAGCCAUCUAUCCUUUAGUAGGGAGCUUCUAUUGAGGCUGAACCCAGUACCAGGAAACUGAUUCUCAGGAAGCUUUUCCUUAUAAUAAAACCUGAAUUUGCCCUACCAUUGCAGGAUACUAAGAGGAGGGGGCAAGAAAAAUAACCUAAUCCUUCUCUCUUACAACAGCAUUUUCAAAUACUUGACAUAAGAAUACCCUUCCCGUCUCUAGGCUACUUCAAAAACAUGAUUUCCAAGGUUCUUCUCCAUUCUUGUCCCUCCUUAGGUGUUGUCUAGCUUAUCAAUGCCCUUCCUUAAUGACACCCAGCACUGUGGGCAGACCAGAGUAGAACAGAGCAAACCUUAUCAUGUGAUAUCAAUCUAGCUGCAGCAGUUGGGACUUAACUAUCACAUGGAAAACAAGGGGGGAAAUCUAUAAUCCCAUACAUUAGUUUGACUCAAUGGGAUUUCAAGAAACAUUCCCUAUUUUAGAUACUUUUCUCUCUUCUCUCCCAUUCAAAAUUGAAACUACUUCCAUUAAUGUAGAUAUUUUAGUACUUUAUUAAAAAUAAUACUUGCUGGUCAGAGAGAAUUGAGAGGAGGAUGAAAGAUAUCAUAAGAAAGAGGGACGGUUUAGAGACUAAGCUAAUGGCUAGCUACAUUCCUCUCACCUAACAGGGCCAAGGCUGACAGGUAUGUUCUAUGUUUUGAUCUGCCACUGAAGAGAAAGCUCAUUCUUUGGAAGGGAAACUUCUCCAAGAAAAAGCCUUUGGUUUUACAGAGGGGGGAAAAAUACCUUUAAGAGUCCUUAGCUGCUUUUAUAUAGGAAUAACUCUUGAUUAUGCAGCUAUAGAAUUUGUCUAGGUCCUAGAAUGCCCACCACCCACUUCUAGAUUCAAGCUAAAUAUGGCAAUAUCUUCUACCAGCUCUUAUUCCAACAGUAGCUUUCAAACUCUAACUUGCUUUACCAGCUUUAGUUUCUAGGAGCCCUACCUUUCUG
rnacentral:lncRNA from 1 species